UAAAAUCUAAACAACCUCCUUUCUUUAUUCUUUACCACUAAAGCAAGAGCUGGUUGGUCAGUCACUUCCACCCAUUCGUUGGUCAAUGUGAAAUGCUCUUUUCUGUGGUCACGUGACUCAUCAGUCCACUUUGUCUAGAGGCAAAAAUUAAAAAAAAAAACAAAAAGAAGUUGAAAACUGUGAUCAGUGCGUGCCUAUUGAGAGCCCCUUCUUCAUUUCACCAGCAAUUAUACAACUCCUCAGAUCUAAUGGCCAUCCAAUCGAGAGCUUCUUCCUCAUUCUCUUCUGUUCAUUUUUCCACCCGUUCAUACACACACGAUGUGUUUCUGAGUUUCAGGGGCGAGGAUACUCGCUACGCUUUCACAGGUCAUUUGCACAGGUAUUUGGUUCUCAACAGGAUCAACACCUUCAUAGACGAUGAGCUUACAAGAGGAGAGGAAAUAUCACAAGCACUUCUCCGAGCCAUUGAAGGAUCAAAGCUGUCCCUUAUCGUCUUCUCCGAAAACUAUGCAUCCUCAAAGUGGUGCUUGGAUGAACUAGUUCAUAUCCUUGGAUGUAGAAGAUCAAAUAACCAAAUGGUUCGGCCAAUCUUUUACAAAGUGGAUCCAUCGGACGUAAGACACCAAGGAGGCAAAUUUGGUGAGGCAGUUGCAGAGCAUGAGCGCAGAUUCAAGGAUGACAUGGACAAGGUGUUAAGAUGGAGAGCAGCUCUUUCAGAAGCAGCAAAUUUGUCUGGGUGGCAUUUCUCGGGCGGGUAUGAAUAUGAAUUUAUUGAUAAAAUUGUUGAAGAGAUUACCGCACAAGUAAAAGAACCUAUCUAUUUGGAUAUGCCAAAGUGCCAAGUUGGGCUAGACUCUCGGGUAGAACAUAUACUUGAAAUGUUAGAUGUUGGCGGAAGUGAUGUACGCAUGGUAGGAAUAUGGGGAAUUGGCGGAAUAGGGAAGACAACAAUUGCUAAAGCUGUUCACAAUACAAUUGCCCAUAAGUUUGAUGGUAGCUGCUUUUUGGCAAAUGUUAGACAAGGUUCAGAGCAACAGGGAGGUUUAGUUAACCUACAAAAUAUUCUUUUGUCUAAGAUUGUGGGGCAGAAAGAAUUGAAAAUAUACAACAUUCAUGAAGGAAUCACUUUGUUGCGUGAAAGGUUGAGAAAUAAAAGGAUUCUCUUAAUUGUUGACGAUGUGGAUAAUUUGGACCAGUUAGAGAAAUUAGCUGGGAGAAUUGAUUGGUUUGGUCACGGCAGCAGAGUUAUCAUAACAACAAGAGAUGAGCAUUUGUUGAUUGCUCAUCAAGUGAAACCAAUAUACAAGGUUCAUGAACUAGGUCAUUAUGAAGCUCUUGAGCUUUUCAGUUCAAAUGCCUUCAAGGAUAAUAAGAAUUUGGAUGAUAAUGAGAAACUGUCAGUUACUACUGUUGUUAAAUAUGCUCAAGGGAUUCCACUUGCCCUGGAAGUUUUAGGUUCAUAUCUAUGUGAUACCUCUAUACAUAAAUGGCAAGCUAUGUUAGAUGGUUUUAAAAAAAGUCCUCCUAGGCGCAUUCAAGAUAUUCUCAUGAUCAGUUAUGAUGGACUGCAAGAUACAGUGCAAACAGUUUUCCUUGACAUUGCAUGUUUCUUCAAAAGUCAAAAGAUAAAUGACGUGAUACAAAUACUUGAAGGUUGUGACCGCAUCAACCCCGAGCAUAGUAUUAAAGUUCUCGAAGAAAAGGCUCUCAUAUAUAUUGGUGGAUAUGGUCAGAUUUGCAUGCAUGAUUUGCUAGAAGAGAUGGGAAAAGAUAAAGUUUUGAAAGAGUCUAUAGAGCCUGGUGAGCGAAGCAGAUUGUGGCAUCACAAGGAUGUGCAGGACGUUCUAAUAGAAAACACUGGAACAAGUAAAAUUGAGGGCAUAAUGGUAAAGAUGCCCAUAGAAGAUGUGAUACACUUGAGUCCUAAAUGCUUCAAAAAGAUGAAAAAUCUUACAAUCUUUAUAAAUGUCAAUGGACGGUUUUGUGGAGAGGUUGUUGAUCUCCCGUGUCAAUUGCGGUUAUUUGAUUGGCCUAAAUAUCCACUAGAAUAUUUGCCCUCCAAUUUUAAUACAAAGAAAAUGGUUCAUUUUAGCAUGCCUUGCAGCCGCAUCUCACACUUUGGAGAAAGAUUCAAGAGUAUGCAAAAUUUGAAAUCCUUAAAUAUGAAGGGAUGUGAAUUCUUAGCACAAAGCCCAGACCUGUCUGGAAGCCCAAACUUACAGUUCCUAGAUCUAAGUUGGUGCACAAGAUUAGUGGAGAUUCACCCUUCAGUUGGAUACCUGGAAAAACUUGUUAACCUGAAUCUUGAAGGAUGCUCUAAACUAGUGAUGCUUCCUGGAAAAGUCAACUGGAGAUCCCUGGAAGCCAUUGAUCUCGACCUCUGCGCAAGGCUGGAGAAUUUCCCUGAAAUUGUGGGAGAGAUGAAAUACAUGACAUCCUUGAUUCUAUUCGGCACUGGCAUCAAAGAAUUGCCUUCAUCCAUUGGAUAUCUAAUUAACCUUGAAGAGUUGCUGUUGCGUGAUUGUCGAAACCUCACAUAUCUACCUUGCAGCAUUUAUGAAUUGCAAAAUCUGAAGAGCGUUUGUUUGUACGAGUGCCCAAAACUCGUAGGAUUCCCAAAUAAGGUGGACUUUGAAGUGCUUCCAACUUACUCAAAGGUUUCACAUCAAUACCGUAACUCUUUAUCAAAAAGAAAGAGACGAAAUGCAGGCAGUUCAUUGGAGCCAGAGCCAGACACUAAAUACAAUUUGGCACUUCCUUGGCUAAAUCAAUUCCAUGUGACUCAAUGCAAUUUGUCUAAUAUUGAUUUCCUCGCGUCCCUUGAUUGUGCAUCCACUUUAAAUGAACUUGAUUUAUCAAGAAGCCCUAUUGUUAUUCUUCCUGAAUGCAUGAUCAACAAAUUUGUCAACUUGUGGGAACUCAAUUUGAGAGGCUGCACGAGGCUCGAAGAAAUUCCAGAGCUCCCACCAAGGAUUGGCCGGUUGUAUGUGAGGGAUUGUGUAUCAUUGGAAAGAAUUUCAAAGUUGUCAAACAUUUUGGAGCGUAGAGAAUCACAAAUGAUUGAGGAGAUGGACUUGACUAAUUGCUGGAGACUCUGUCAAAAUUUGGUUCAGAUGGCAAACAAGGAAGAUGAUGAGGUGCACGCUGAUCUCUUCUCUCGACUCCUAUCUUCUCAGCAAUUCAAAUUCACAAUUACAUUUCCAGUUCCAAGAAGCGGGAUUCCAAAGUGGUUCAGCUGUCAAAUGGAUUUCAAGGGGCAUCGACGGUUUGAAUUUUGUAUUGAAACACUUGCACAUUUCAAAUGGGACAACACAGGAUUGGCUCUCUGUGUUGCUAUUGAUCAAAAGCUGCAAGAUACUUCUGCUGUUUUCUCUUUUGAGGUCUGUAUUCACAUCAAUGAAGUACUUGUUUCAAAUUUCUUCCCACAACAUGUUGAUCAUGUGUGGCUGCACUAUGUUCCAUUCCUUGAAAUGUGGCGAUUUGGUUAUAUGCGUCCAUUGCCACCUUUUAUGUGUCGAGUCAUUAUUUAUCAACAUAGUCACUCUGAGGCGUCCUUAAAAAGUGUUGGGGUCCACCUUGUAAUGCCACCCAAUGAAGACAUUUGUAUGAAGCUAAUCUGUUCAGAGAACCUCACCAGCAAAUUUCUUGGUGGUGAAGUUUAUAAGAACUUCUGGGAGAAUUAUCAUCCCAAACAGAGGAUUGACUGCAAAUAAUUAUAUACUGAUGCACAACUGGAGUACAAAAAGCUGUAAUUAUUACUAAUAUGCAGAAUAGCAAAUGUCUAUGGGCCAAUGUGACGAAUACAGUCUUGUUUUAAGCUACUGAAAGGUUUAAAUAACAAGAAGUUGGGAUAUCAGAAGAAAGGUCUUCCAGAAGACGAAGCACCACCUUGCCUGCACAAGCUUGACUUUAAAAAGGCACAUUGUUGUUGUAUAUAUAUAUCAAAUUGCCCCCAGUGGCUUAUUGCAUUAAUGGAGGUAAUACUGUAUCUCUGAUUUUCAGAUUUAUGCACAUCAUGCAAGACACUUGAAUGAAGAAGCUAUGUUGUUGAGUGUGAAAGCGUUUGAACCAUUGUAUCUGAUAUUGGGGAUUAAGUCUUACUAGGAUGAAUGUGGCUUUCUAAGUUUCUGGUCUUAUGUUUCUAUUUUGAUGUUUUACAGGCCUGUAAAAGCCUUGCCAUUACAUAUGUUUCACUUUAUGACACCCUCAGUUUGCUCCCACUUUCCUAUUAGAUAAUUCUCCACGUAUAAUACUUAUAACAUUUUCCACUGUCAUUUAGUGAACUUUUAAAUGUUCUUGACCUCUUCUUUUUCUAAGACUAGCGCUUUACCCUCUUUAGAAGUCUGGACUGAGCCCUGUACAAUUACUGAGUAGGAAAUGCUCGGUGGUUACCUACCA